GGCCUGAUCGCUCAACUGGUGGAGCGCUGCACCCGCGUUGCAGAGAUCAGGGUUCGAGCUCUGAAUUUUUCAGGCCU
rnacentral:tRNA from 1 species